rnacentral:rRNA from 1 species
UGGGGAAUAUUGCACAAUGGGCGCAAGCCUGAUGCAGCCAUGCCGCGUGUAUGAAGAAGGCCUUCGGGUUGUAAAGUACUUUCAGCGAGGAGGAAGGCGUUGUGGUUAAUAAACGCAACGAUUGACGUUACUCGCAGAAGAAGCACCGGCUAACUCCGUGCCAGCAGCCGCGGUAAUACGGAGGGUGCAAGCGUUAAUCGGAAUUACUGGGCGUAAAGCGCACGCAGGCGGUCUGUCAAGUCGGAUGUGAAAUCCCCGGGCUCAACCUGGGAACUGCAUCCGAAACUGGCAGGCUAGAGUCUUGUAGAGGGGGGUAGAAUUCCAGGUGUAGCGGUGAAAUGCGUAGAGAUCUGGAGGAAUACCGGUGGCGAAGGCGGCCCCCUGGACAAAGACUGACGCUCAGGUGCGAAAGCGUGGGGAGCAAACA